CGCGACAGGCUGGGUGCUCUGCGCGGGGCCGGCGCACAGGCUUGGCCCCCGGCCCGGCCCCCUCCGCCAGCCUCCUCUGCCCGGCCACAGCCCCGCGACUGUGAAGGGCGUGCGGGUGGAGAGGAGGCUGGAGCGUCUCCUGCCGCCGCCGGCGCAGGGCAGUAUCCGGACUGUCGCGGCAGCAUGCGGGCAAGCCAUCCAGGCACGCCUCCCCUCCUCCUCCACCUCCCCCAGGCAAGAACGCCGUCUUGACGCAGGCCGCGGGGUGCCGCAAAUGCGAGCACGGCGCGCAGGCGCCGUGGGGCACAGCCGGCACGGUGUACCACACCCAGGCACAGCAUCCGGCGGUCAGCGGAGCGCGAGUGAGGGGCGCGAAGCGGCCCAUGCCGAUCACCCCCCUCCCCCGACGAGCAUGCCUGCGAAGCAUGCGGCACAGCCCGUCUGCAUCCCGACGGGGCGGGCUGAUGAGGCGCAGACGCCGGGAGCAUGGCGAGAGCACCGCCGAGCCCUGCAGACUCCCACGCGACGAGUCGCCGCGCCAGAUCACGGAAUAGCGCGACUUGCAGCGGCUCUGGGCGCAGGAGCACGGCACGCAGGCCGGGUCUCAGAGGGCCCUGCCCCGAGGCUGGCCCGCCUCCUCCUCGAGCUCGUGCGGCGUGCGCGGUGGCCGCCCCCUGUUACGCGGGCGACAGAGACGCCGUCGCCACUGCCCUGGAGCGCAGGACGCUGCAGGCGACCCUGCUUGGAUCGAGGCAUGCGCCCCAGCGGAGGCCCGUCUGGCGCCCGAGGCGCGCGGCUCGAUUUCGCGGCAGAGGGCGGUGCGCCCUAGACGACCAGAGUGUAGCCGUGGUGCCGCAGAGGUGGGUGAGCUGUGGUUAUGUGUGCGCUUAUUCCGCAACUCUCUUGGCGCGCUUAGUAGAGCGUUGAGCGAAGAAGGGGGGGAGCAUUAAUGCUAAUCUUUUCUAAAGGAAGUUGAAUAGUCUGUCGGAGCAUCUCUUGGAGAGUGGCGGCAGCGCUCGCCGUGCCGGGACGGCUCUCUCCCUUGAGCACAUAUAUACAAGGAAAAGAUACAAUUUUUAUGUUUAUUGUGUUUAUUACCACGACUACUAUUAUUAUGGACUUCUCGGUGAGGCUGUUGUCAGGAUCUCGUAUGUGGGCAGUGACACACACACGCCCAGUUG
rnacentral:misc_RNA from 1 species